UCUCCGUUGGUGAACCAGCGGAGGGAUCAUUACAGAGUUGCAAGACUCCCAAACCAUUGUGGUCUAUUGUCUCUUUGUUGCUUCGGCAGGCCCGCCCCAGGGCGGGGCGACGAAAAAGGGCCUGCCGACAGCCCAACCCAAACUCCUCUGAACGAAUCCUCUGAAGACACUAUAAAAAUAAGUCAAAACUUUCAACAACGGAUCUCUUGGUUCUGGCAUCGAUGAAGAACGCAGC
rnacentral:misc_RNA from 1 species